rnacentral:rRNA from 1 species
GAUGAACGCUGGCGGCGUGCCUAACACAUGCAAGUCGAGCGAUUUACUUCGGUAAAGAGCGGCGGACGGGUGAGUAACGCGUGGGUAACCUGCCCUGUACACACGGAUAACAUACCGAAAGGUAUGCUAAUACGAGAUAAUAUACUUUUAUCGCAUGGUAGAAGUAUCAAAGCUUUUGCGGUACAGGAUGGACCCGCGUCUGAUUAGCUAGUUGGUAAGGUAACGGCUUACCAAGGCGACGAUCAGUAGCCGACCUGAGAGGGUGAUCGGCCACAUUGGAACUGAGACACGGUCCAAACUCCUACGGGAGGCAGCAGUGGGGAAUAUUGCACAAUGGGCGAAAGCCUGAUGCAGCAACGCCGCGUGAGCGAUGAAGGCCUUCGGUCGUAAAGACUCUGUCCUCAAGGAAGAUAAUGACGGUACUUGAGGAGGAAGCCCCGGCCUAACUACGUGCCAGCAGCCG